rnacentral:rRNA from 1 species
GACGAACGCUGGCGGCGUGCUUAACACAUGCAAGUCGAACGGAAAGGCCUGCUUUCCCUUGUGGAUUGCGGGUACUCGAGUGGCGAACGGGUGAGUAACACGUGAGUGAUCUGCCCCCAACUUGGGUAUAAGCCUGGGAAACUGGGUCUAAUUCCCGAUAGGACUGCAGGGUGGUGCCUGUGGUGGAAAACGAUUUUCUAGUGGUUGGGGAUGAACUCGCGGCCUAUCAGCUUGUUGGUGGGGUAAUGGCCUACCAAGGCGGCGACGGGUAGCCGGCCUGAGAGGGUGGACGGCCACAUUGGGACUGAGAUACGGCCCAGACUCCUACGGGAGGCAGCAGUGGGGAAUAUUGCACAAUGGGCGGAAGCCUGAUGCAGCGACGCCGCGUGGGGGAUGACGGCCUCCGGGUUGUAAACUCCUUUCGACCGCGAGGAAGCCACCUGGUUGGAAGGGUGGUGACGGUAGUGGUAGAAGAAGCACCGGCUAACUACGUG